rnacentral:rRNA from 1 species
UAGUCGGACGAGUUUAGACUCGUGGCAGAUAGCUCAGUAACACGUGGCCAAGCUACCCUUCAGUCGGCAAUACCCUCGGGAAACUGAGGUUAACGGCCGAUGUGGGACGCCUGCUGGAAUGCAGCGUUCUCUAAAGGCGACGCUGAAGGAUGCGGCUGCGGCCGAUUAGGUUGACGGUGGGGUAACGGCCCACCGUGCCAGUAAUCGGUACGGGUGAUGAGAGUCAGAGCCCGGAGACGGAAUCUGAGACAAGAUUCCGGGCCCUACGGGGCGCAGCAGGCGCGAAACCUUUACACUGCACGGAAGUGCGAUAGGGGAAUCCCAAGUGCGAGGGCAUAUUCGCCCUCGCUUUUGUUGACCGUAAGGUGGUCAACGAAUAAGAGCUGGGCAAGACCGGUGCCAGCCGCCGCGGUAAUACCGGCAGCUCGAGUGAUGUCCAAUAUUAUUGGGCCUAAAGCGUCCGUAGCUGGCCGCGCAAGUCCGUCGGGAAAUCCACCUGCCCAACAGGUGGGCGUCCGGCGGAAACUGUGUGGCUUGGAACCGGAAGGCUCAGAGGGUACGUCCGGGGUAGGAGUGAAAUCCCGUAAUCCCGGACGGACCACCGAUGGCGAAAGCACUCUGAGAAGACGGCUUCGACAGUGAGGGACGAAAGCUAGGGUCUCAAACCGGAUUAGAUACCCGGGUAGUCCUAGCUGUAAACGAUGCUCGUUAGGUGUGGCACCCACUACGAGUGGGUGCUGUGCCGCAGGGAAGCCGCUAAACGAGCCGCCUGGGAAGUACGUCCGCAAGGAUGAAACUUAAAGGAAUUGGCGGGGGAGCACUACAACCGGAGGAGCCUGCGGUUUAAUUGGAUUCAACGCCGGGAAUCCCGCGGCCAUG